rnacentral:lncRNA from 1 species
AUAUUUCAGACCAUGAAACUUGUCAAGAGAUCUGAAACCAAAAGCAUACAUUAAAACGACAAUGGUCAAGAAAUGAUAGAUCCAGACAUCAAAUAGAUUAUGGAAACCACCACCAAUCACGAAAGAUAAUAAUCUAAUAAAGAUCCUAAGUCAUAAGAGUUGACAAAUAUGAUUGUAUAAAAAAUGUAAUUGCCCAUCACCAUCGAACAAAGAAAAAAGAUGGGUAAAAUGUGUUUGAAAAAUUACAAUGGUAUUUAAAGGGUUUUUUUUAAGUAAAUAUUUUAUUAACAUAUUUCAUUCUUAA